GACGAACGCUGGCGGCGUGCCUAAUACAUGCAAGUCGAACGCACUCUCGUUUAGAUUGCAGGAGUUUGCUCCUGAUUGAUAAACAUUUGAGUGAGUGGCGGACGGGUGAGUAACACGUGGGUAACCUGCCCUAAAGUGGGGGAUAACAUUUGGAAACAGAUGCUAAUACCGCAUAAAACCUAACACCGCAUGGUGUAGGGUUGAAAGAUGGUUUCGGCUAUCACUUUAAGAUGGACCCGCGGUGCAUUAGUUAGUUGGUGAGGUAAAGGUUCACCAAGACCGUGAUGCAUAGCCGACCUGAGAGGGUAAUCGGCCACACUGGGACUGAGACACGGCCCAGACUCCUACGGGAGGCAGCAGUAGGGAAUCUUCCACAAUGGACGAAAGUCUGAUGGAGCAACGCCGCGUGAGUGAAGAAGGUUUUCGGAUCGUAAAACUCUGUUGUUGGAGAAGAAUGUAUCUGAUAGUAACUGAUCAGGUAGUGACGGUAUCCAACCAGAAAGCCACGGCUAACUACGUG
rnacentral:rRNA from 1 species